rnacentral:rRNA from 1 species
UACGUAGGGUGCGAGCGUUGUCCGGAAUUACUGGGCGUAAAGAGCUCGUAGGCGGUGUGUCACGUCGGCCGUGAAAACCUGGGGCUUAACUCUGGGCGUGCGGUCGAUACGGGCAUCACUAGAGUUCGGCAGGGGAGACUGGAAUUCCUGGUGUAGCGGUGAAAUGCGCAGAUAUCAGGAGGAACACCGGUGGCGAAGGCGGGUCUCUGGGCAGUAACUGACGCUGAGGAGCGAAAGCGUGGGGAGCGAACAGG